CCCUAAAAGCAGUCUUAGUUCGGAUUGCACUCUGCAACUCGAGUGCAUGAAGUUGGAAUCGCUAGUAAUCGCGGAUCAGCAUGCCGCGGUGAAUACGUUCCCGGGCCUUGUACACACCGCCCGUCACACCAUGGGAGUUGGCUUUACCCGAAGACGGUGUUCUAACCGCAAGGAGG
rnacentral:rRNA from 1 species